GGCUAGCUCAGUAGAUAGAGCAUGAGAUUCUUAAUCCUAGGGUCCUGGGUUCGAGUUCCACAUUUGGUGAAAUA